CGCACCUUGCGCCCUUUGGCUAUUCCGAAGGGCAUGCCUGUUUGAGUAUCAUGAACACCUCAACUCUCAUGGUUUGCCAUUUGAGCUUGGACUAUGGGGGUUUUGCUGGCCUGUGGUCAGCUCCUCUCAAAUGAAUCAGCUUACCAGUCCCGUUUGGUGGCAUCACAGGUGUGAUAACUAUCUACGCUUGUGGUUUUCCACCAAGUAACCUUCAGCAAUGGAGGUUCGCUGGGGCUCAUAAACGUCUCUCCUCAGUGAGGACAGCUCUUUGAACGUUUGAUCUCAAAUCAGGUAGGACUACCCGCUGAACUUAA
rnacentral:rRNA from 1 species